UAAAAGGACGACAAUCGAACGCUUUUCUUU
rnacentral:piRNA from 1 species